rnacentral:rRNA from 1 species
GAUGAACGCUGGCGGCGUGCCUAAUACAUGCAAGUCGAGCGAACAGAUGAGGAGCUUGCUCCUCUGACGUUAGCGGCGGACGGGUGAGUAACACGUGGAUAACCUACCUAUAAGACUGGGAUAACUUCGGGAAACCGGAGCUAAUACCGGAUAAUAUAUUGAACCGCAUGGUUCAAUAGUGAAAGACGGUUUUGCUGUCACUUAUAGAUGGAUCCGCGCCGCAUUAGCUAGUUGGUAAGGUAACGGCUUACCAAGGCAACGAUGCGUAGCCGACCUGAGCGGGUGAUCGGCCACACUGGAACUGAGGCACGGUCCAGACUCCUACGGGAGGCAGCAGUAGGGAAUCUUCCGCAAUGGGCGAAAGCCCGACGGAGCAACGCCGCGUGAGUGAUGAAGGUCUUCGGAUCGUAAAACUCUGUUAUUGGGGAAGAACAAAUGUGUAAGUAACUAUGCACGUCUUGACGGUACCUAAUCAGAAAGCCACGGCUAACUACGUG